rnacentral:rRNA from 1 species
GACGAACGCUGGCGGCGUGCUUAAUACAUGCAAGUCGAACGGAGUUAAGGGUUUCGGCCUUUAACUUAGUGGCGAACGGGUGAGUAACGCGUGAAUAACCUGACUCAAAGAGGGGGAUAACAACGGGAAACUGUUGCUAAUACCGCAUGAGACCACAACACCGCAUGAUGAAGGGGUCAAAGAUUUAUCGCUUUGAGAGGGGUUCGCGUCCCAUUAGGUAGUUGGAGGGGUAACGGCCCACCAAGCCAACGAUGGGUAGCCGAGCUGAGAGGCUGAUCGGCCACACUGGAACUGAGACACGGUCCAGACUCCUACGGGAGGCAGCAGUAGGGAAUAUUGGGCAAUGGGCGCAAGCCUGACCCAGCAACGCCGCGUGAGGGAAGAAGGUUUUCGGAUUGUAAACCUCUGUGGACAGGGACGAUAAUGACGGUACCUGUUUAGAAAGCCACGGCUAACUACGUG